rnacentral:tRNA from 1 species
AUUUAAAUAGUUUAAUAUAAAAUAUUGAUUUGUGGAGUCAAAGAUGUGUGUUGUGCUUUAGAUA